rnacentral:rRNA from 1 species
UACGGGGGGGCGAAGCGUUGUUCGGAAUUACUGGGCGUAAAGGGCUCGUAGGCGGCCAACUAAGUCAGACGUGAAAUCCCUCGGCUUAACCGGGGAACUGCGUCUGAUACUGGAUGGCUUGAGGUUGGGAGAGGGAUGCGGAAUUCCAGGUGUAGCGGUGAAAUGCGUAGAUAUCUGGAGGAACACCGGUGGCGAAGGCGGCAUCCUGGACCAAUUCUGACGCUGAGGAGCGAAAGCCAGGGGAGCAAAGUGGG